UCGAUCAGAUGCAAUUAACUAAUAAUAAAUCGAAACGAACGGAAUAAGGUUGAUAUAAAGCCAUGUGAUAAAAUGACACGAUGCCAAUCGUGAAUUUGAUCGAGAGCUCUUUACACGAUGAAUUUAACAAAUGACGAAUCGCGUUCCAGAAUUAUCGACGCGUUUUUUCCGUUAGAACGUUCCUAAGCUAAAUAUUGCGCCAGAGUACGAAAAUUUUUGCAACCUCCGGAAUGAUCAAUUUCGAUCGAAUCCGAUGGAAAUUCAUGCAAGUGCGCCUUAGAAACAGCUUUCGAGAAGUCGUGCGCGUGUACUUCCGACGUGAAAACAUGCACUCCUCGAAAAGCCGGGUUGAGGUGCGUAUUACGCGAUAUGUAAGCGACGUUGCCUCGAUCGCGCGGACGCGGGAUCAUGCGUGUGACCGGAGACGCGGCGUCGUCGCGAGGGAAUUUCUCGCCGACACCGUGUCUCCGAAAAUAAUACCGCACAGCUUCUAAAUUGGGACAAUCAAUUACGAUCCGUGUGCAUCGUGCACGGGAGCAGCGAGUCUCGGGUGAAUGACGUAACAGCCGCGAGCCGGCGAACAACGUUCCACGGAGUUCCUCCUCGGAGCCAUUACACGAAGGGAAAUGCGCGUUACGUGCGACGAACUGGCUCGGUGUUUGCACGUCGAAAACAACCGGCGUCGAUUCAACGGCGCGUGUUCCAACCUCUUGUUCGGCAAAAACACGAAUAUCGCGGGAUUCCGCGGAAUUGCAAAUGAGAAAAUAAAUGGAAAAACCCACCCGCCGGCGACGAGGUGUAUCGCGGUGUCGCGAUCCAACAUUCUUCCACUUCGGUCUUCUGUGUCACUCCGAGAUCAUCAACUUCGAAGAAAGGUACAAGAAGAGACACUGAAUAAACAGGUUCACAGGCGGAGAACGCGGGGAAACUGCGCACGAAGAAAUUCGUCCGCGACGUGUUAUUUGUUUUUUCAAGUAGUAGGUUCAGUUCCUUCUCUCGGCGAGCGAAUCGAGAAAGCGCCGACGAGGACCAACGUUCGACACCUCGACACAACACUGGCCCGCAUUGAUCGUAACAACGUACGGCACGCCGUUUGCCACGGACUACGUCGAAGCUAGAAAGAGAUCGUCGAAUGUUUCGCAAACGGUGCGACGUACGAAACGGCGGGAACUUUGUAAUUUGAAAUUCAAACGGCUAUUCAUGGAAACUGCCUUCUUUAGGAAACUGUCUGCUGAUUUCAACUCCGUUUCAUCAGAAGUUUGGAAAACAAACUGCAUUUAUAAAGACUCGCAACGAAGUGAUUGACAAGAUGAUUUUAAGGAGGGAAAAUAAAAAGAUUAAUGAAAUUUGGAUAAAAUGCGUACAUGUUUUUAUAUUAUAAAAAAUAAUAUAGGAUGAGAAAAGCAUUAAAUAAAUAUAUAAUACUGA